CUAUCACAACCUGAGCACGACAAUCAUAAGAUUAGUAUGCAAAAUUAAAGUAGUUUUCUCCUUAGUCCUAGCCAUGGCAGUCAUCAAGAGCAAUCACACACAUGCCAUGGGUUGUUCAAUCUUGAUUGUUGUUACGAUCAUGUCUUCCACUUUGAUCUUACCAACCUAUUGCUAUGAACUUGAUCUUCAUGAAGAGUGCUUGCCCAUUCAAGUCUGCAAUACAAAUGCCUGCCAAAACUUAUGCAGACACGACGGCAACCGUUGGCUCGGGGCCUACUGCAGGACUGGACCAGGCGAUAUGAAAAUAUGUUGUUGCGCUUAUUCCUGAAUCUCUAGUGAUCCUUGUUGUUAUUUGGGGCACUAAUAUUGUCGUUCCCUGUAUCCACCCGCUUGGAAUGCAUUAUCAGUAAAAUAGUUUUUUAGCGAAUCAAUCAAAAUUUUAAUUAUUAUGACCAA